GUCAGGAACACCAGGAGCUUUGACAACUGAAGUGGCUCCAGGCUUUACUCUGACUGGGGGUACCUUCGGUACAUCUUUCUUCUGUGUUUUCAAAGCUAGGGUGCAACGAGAAGAGUCAACAAUCAACUAAUUUCACAGGAAGCCAUCUCCAAAUAUCAUUCACUGAAGCCAAGGAUUGACAAGCUAGGGGAAUGGGAUUCCUAACCUCGAAGGACUGAAGCAGUCAACACAUCGAUACACAAGGAAUCAGAAGUUCAAAUAACAAUCCCAUAUCAUCAUUUUGACCAACAAGUCCCGAUUUCUGAGGGCAUGAUUGGGAACAUGGAGAAUGCGAUAGAUGAGUACUUUGAAUUCGACCGGUGCCUUUUGUUUACAAACUACGUAAGUCUCAGAUAAAAUGGUGCAAAUUCAAGAACAUUUGAAAAUAGUUAUUUUAAUAGUAUUAGGAAAUGAAAUCCUUCGGAAUUAUUACAACUGAAUGUCCAUUAUAGUUUAAUGAAGCAACAUCAAAAUAAGCUAAAGGAGAAAGAAAUUAAUUACUUAAGCCGGUAAAAUGUUACAGACGAGAACCAAUUCUAUUAUUGUAUUUUAAUAAAAAAUAUUCACUACCUAAAAAAACAUCGAUUGCACUGACAACAACAAACAGGAAACUGAUAUAUGAUAAUGCAAUUAUGUAGUAAAUAUGUAUGUAUGUGAUAUGUAAAGUAACAUGCGUGAACGCAGUACUUAAAUAAACAGAACGUGGAUGAACCAAAAUGAAUGUCGAUUUGGUAAUG